GGGGGGUGGCGCUGACGGUAGACGGCUCUGUGGAGAUGGCAGUAGAAGCCCCUGCUGCUUUGAUGGCUACGGUGGCAGCAACGGCAGUGGGAGUUGAAAGGCGGCAGCAGAGGUGGAGAGUAGCAUACAGCAACAACGACGAGUGCGGCCUGGAGGUGGCUUGGGCAAGCGGUUGGCUGCUUGUUGGUCGCGCUGGAGAAGAAAGGUGGCGCACGAGGUGGAGGUGCCGUGGCGGAGCUCGGAUUGCGGCGGACCUCCUGGUCUUUGUUUCCUCACUUUGCGUUUAGUUCCUUUGCCUCUGCCCGAAAUUCCUCCUCCAAAUUCCAGAUUUCGGCUGCCAGUUUCUUUUUUUUUUAGUUCCGUUUCUUGCUCUUCCUAAAUUCCUCUCAGCUAUCUUCUCUGUUUUCUGUUCCCUUUACUCUCCGCAGCCCCCUUCUCUGUUCUUUAGCCUUUCCUUAGCCGAAUCCUCCCCUGUUUUCUUUCUUUUGCUUUGUUUUUCUUUCAGCCUUUUUCCUUUUGCUAGCAGCCCCUUCUCUGUUUUUUCAUUUUUUGCCGUUCAUCCUCUGUUUUUAGCCCGAAGCCUUUGCCUAAAAAUCCUAACUUCAUUCUCUUCUCUUUUCCCUUUUCUGCGUUUUUCUCUCCACCCAGAUUCAGCCGCCCCUUUGUUUUCCUCUCAAGGCCGAAACCCCCUGCUUAGCUCUCCAGAUUUUUCAUCGUCCCCUGCCCUCUUCUCUGUUUUUCUGGUUUUUUCUUCCCUUAGCUCCGCCCAAAACCUUCCCCUGUUUUUCCUUUUCAUUCCCUCGCUUGCCCCCCAGCCAAGAGCUUCCUUCGAUUUUUUUUAGCCUUUCGUACCUUUUCUCCUCUCUUAGACCUCCAGGUGUCUCAAACACCUACCCCUCCCUAAACACUUGUCCUACCAUUCCUUAACCACUUGUCUAAUGCUUAUUUGCACACUUGUUCAACAUGCAAUUGACACACUUGUUUAAUAUGCUAAUUUUCUAAAAUUACCUUGCAAAAUGCCUUAGCAAGAAAAAAUCAAAUUAAAAAAAAUAAAAUGGAUCUUUAUUCAGGAUUUUUCCUAAAAUUUAGCGUAAAAUUGCUUUUAAAAAGAAAAUGAUGAAUUUUAAUGUAUUAAAAUAAGAAUAAACAUCAAUUACUAUUUGCAACCUCAAAUCAAUUAAAAAUAAUAAAUAUGAAACAAGAAUAAAUAAAUAAUGAUAAAAACUAAAAUUGAAUCAAGAGAGUCAGAAAUUGAAUAAAGCUAAAUACAGUUAAGAUUGAAUUGAUGAAAUUUUUGGUGUCUACAGUUUGCCCCUCUUUGUCUGAGUUUUGAAAAAACUUGAGGCAAAGAAGUAGACACCAAAUACUUACCUGUGUUAUUCGGCUAUGAGCGUCUCGAACGAUGGAUGCUUUAGAAAUGGGGACUGACCCCUUUGACAAAAAUUUAAAAUGGGAUUGAUCCAAACAGAAAAUUUAAAAUAUGGAUUGACCCGAACAGAAAGUUAAAACGGGGUUAGACCCACGGGAUAGACCCGGACAGAAAUGUAAAAUUGGGAUAGACCCACGGGAUAGACCUGAACAGAAAUUUAAAAUUGGGAUAGACCCACGGGAUAGACCCGGACAGAAAUUUAAAUGGGAUAGACCCAGACAGAAAAGUAAAUGGGAUAGACCCAUGGGAUAGACCCGAACAGAAAUUUAAAAUUGGGAUAGACCCACGGGAUAGACUCGGACAGAAAUUUAAAAUUGGGAUAGACCCACGGGAUAGACCCGAACAGAAAUUUAAAAUUGGGAUAGACCCACGGGAUAUUGUGAAGUUGGCGGCACGAAAUCCAGGCCCAACGUGAUUUUUGGAAUGUUGGCGGCACGAAAUCCAGGCCCAACUUGAUGUUUGGAACGUUGGCGGCACAAAAUCCAGGCCCAACUUGAUUUUUGGAAUGUUGGCGGCACGAAAUCCAGGCCCAACUUGAUGUUUGUGAGGUUGGCGGCACGAAAUCCAGGCCCAACUUGGUGAUGUGAAGUUGGUGGCACGAAAACCAAGCCCAACGUGACAUUUGUGAUGUUGGCGGCACCUAGUCCAGGCCCAACGUGAUAAAGUGAUGUUGGCGGCACCAAGUCCAGGCCCAACGUGAUAAAGUGAAGUUGGUGGCACGAACACCAAGCCCAACGUGAUAAAGUGAUGUUGGCGGCACCAAGUCCAGGCCCAACGUGAUAAAGUGAAGUUGGUGGCACGAACACCAAGCCCAACGUGAUAAAGUGAUGUUGGCGGCACAAGUCCAGGCCCAACGGGAUGUUUGGGAAGUUGGCGGCACAAAAUCCAGGCCCAACGGGAUGUUUGGGAAGUUGGCGGCACAAAAUCCAGGCCCAACGGGAUGUUUGAGAUGUUGGCGGCAUUAAAUCCAGGCCCAACGUGAUAAAGUGAUGUUGGCGGCACCAAGUCCAGGCCCAACGUGAUAAAGUAAAGUUGGUGGCACGAAAACCAAGCCCAACGUGAUAAAGUGAUGUUGGCGGCACGAAACUCAGGCCCAACGUAAUAAAGUGAAUGGUCAGCGGGAUAAGACCCAGUCCUACCAUCCAAUUGGUCAAGAACUUGAACUUGAUUUGUCAGGAAUCAAGAAAUUUGAUUUUCCAAGUAACAAAAACUUGAAUUUUGAUUUUUGAUUUUUGACUUUUUCUGAUUUUUCGAGAGAAUCUUUUUCACAAAUAAUUUGCCCCAGUGUAGGGCCCUUCUCCCUUCUUUCUCCUCUUUCUUCGGCAUCGGCCUUCCACAUCGCCAGAUGCUUUUCGUCGACUUCAACUGUAAAUACCUGCACAGGGCUUACGUGCACUCAAAUGAGCGUGACUGAUUUGAAAAAAUGCAUUAUUUUGAUUCUUGGACGAAAUCCUCAAUUGGACUUACAAAAAUAUUUGCCCCUGUGUGGGCUUAUUUUGCAAAAUUUUGCAAAUAAAAAUUUUGCCCCAGUUUGGGCCCAUUUGAUUGCAAAAAUUGGUUUAGAUGAUUUCCCAUUUAUUUGAACAAAGAAAAACCGCACUUUUGCCCAUUUAGAAAAGAAUGCACAUAUACAACAAUGUGAAGAAACUUUAAGCGUCAAGUUUGAACUCAUGCAGAAAUUUCAUGAUGAAUUCCUCGAAGUAACACCAAAUUCAAGAAGAUUUCUUCCUCACUUUUUAGCAUUGGUGUUAGGGUAACGGGUCACCACUUUUGGUUGGCUCAUCUUUUCAGAAUCAAUCAAGUGACUUUAUUUUUGAAAUGGCUAAGGAAAUGGGAGAUAAGAAUCUGUCUCAUUUUUGUGCCCCAGUUGUAUGUAAUCCAUUCAAUGUCACAUCUUAGUGAAAGCAAAGAGUUUGUUACCCUUAUUUUCAAGAAAACUUAGUCAACAUACAAGCUUUCUAGGCUUGUAACGUAUGGACAGAAGUGAUAGCUAAACAUGUGGAAACGGGUUAUGCCCCUAUGAUCACAAAUGAUUUGAUGAAUUUCUUGUGAGCAUGAUCCUCACUUUGGAUUGUCAUGAAAGAAUAAGUCAACGAUGGACUUUAUCAGCUUGUAAUUUGGCUUGAAAACGAUAGCUAAAGAAAGAAAUAAUUUUCAAGGACAUUGCACCGAAGAUCGCGUUUUUCUCAAAAUUACCCUCAAUUUGGACUCCAAGAUCUUGGACUUUGUUUGACUUUUUGUCAUCACUCAACAGGUCUUUCGGCAUCAAAUCUCUUUUUUUCCCUUUUCAAAAAUAACCUCGCGGGGUUUCACAUGAAGAGCAGUGUCAACCUCACACCAAAUCAAUUCAGAAAUACAGCUAUAAUUUUCGACAUCAGAAAUUUUCUUAACAGGGCCAUUGCUAAGAACAGAAGUCAGGGCUUUCGGCUUUUGUAAUGGGGUCAGGUGGGGUGCUUAGAAAAGUUAAGGCUUGAAAACGGAUUUCAAAAGCGGUUUGAAAAAUCUGAGAUCGCAUUGUUGCGUCAACCCUAUUUUAGGGUAAAAUCAGAAUUUGCCUCAGUUUUUGCUCAAUUGAGGCUUUUCUCUUUCAUUUCUUUCUUUUUUGAUUUUUCGGCCUUCGGCCAUUCUUUUGAACUUUCACAAAAUUUGCCCCAGUUUAUUUUUGAACUGAGGUUCUCUUUUCUCUUUUGUCUUUGAUUUUGUGGCUUUUCACUUUUCACUUCUUGAAAUAUUCCUUUUUCAACUCAACUUGCCCCAGUGUGGGGUUUGCGAUUCUCAGGGGUUGCCAAACGAAGUAUUUUAUUCUGAAGGCUCAAAAGGGAUAACUAGGGAUAGAAUACUUGAUUGGAAAAGAAGACGGCCUGACUUGUAUUCCGUUCCUUACAAUAACUCUGAAAGGAAACUUUCGUUAAUGCGAAAUUUUUUGCAUGUAUCUGAAUUAAUUGACUGAGGAAAACCCUUGCUCAUCCAUAUUUGUGAAACAUAGACGAUUCACAUGGACAAAACCCUUCCUUUUCUUUUUUCAAACUUGGAACCCAAGUGGAAUCAAAUUUCCCCAAUUUGCAGUUCCCUCCUUAUUCUAGCAUUUUUGCUUUUUCCCUUUUCCCUUUUUUCUUUUUUUGUUUUUUUUUUUUUGAAAAUUCUCCAAUCUCCCUCCCCAAUGUGGGUACGACCAUGAGUGCAUUAGAAAAGAACCACCAAUUUUAGCUCAAAAUGGGGAUGCAAGGGUGAUCAGUGUUUAGGUUGUAGAAACGACGGCCAAAGCAUCAUUCUUACACCUCAUGACAACCAAAGUAACGAAACGGUUAUUGAAAACCCAUUCCCCUAUUUGAUAUUUGAAAAUUUUCCAAUAUAGGGUAGAGAUCAUUAAGGCCUUUAUUUGAAACGAAAUUAUUCUUUCAUAGGCUCAAAUGGGAGAGCAAGUGAUAAAAAUCUGUAUAGGUAGUGAAACAAAUGCUCAAAGUAUCAUUCCAAAUUUUCCAAACGAAUAAGGAUGAUGCACAUUUUUGCUUUCACUUAGAUGUGAUUGAAUCGAUUAAACACAAUGGAUAUUUUCAAGCAAAGAUGGCCCCAAUUUGCGAUUUAUCAAUCAAUGUGACUGACUUUAUUUUGAGGUUAGAUGAAGGAGAAAAGGUAUCUCAUUGGGCCUUUUGAGUGACCAUCUUUUUAGCACUCUUAUUGUGAAUUUUCAGGUCGGAGGUUGAAAAAAAUCCCAAUUUAGUCUUAUUUCUUAAAAUUCAUCAUGCAAUCUCCAAUGAAUAAGAAUAAAGAAUGAAAUGUACAUAAAUUUACACAAAACAAUAAUUGUCCAAAAAUUUUAUUGCUGAAAAAGUUUGAAACAAAAUUUCUCAUUCAAUUAUGGUACAAAUGAGAAGAGAGACUUGUAAAGAGCUCCACAUAUACACUUUUUGUCUCUUUUCUCUUGGGAACAAAAUGUAUUAACAAAUCAAAUAUACAAAAUUUUCCUUUGGAAAACAAUUACAACAUCUCUCAGAGGCUUUAGCGUAGAGCUUCCAGAUAAAUCAUUUAUGUUUUCGUUGUAGGAUCUGCCCAAGAAUCAAAUAACACUUGCAGUUUUGACACUUUAUUAGAUCAAAAUUAUUAUCAGGUAUGGAAGAAAUAUUUCCACCUUAUUGAAAUAUUUUUAUGAAUGCAGGGAGAGGGGAAAACAAAACAAAAAAAAAAUAUCCAGAGUUAGUAAUCAAGACUAUAAAAUUGGUAUGCAUGCCCUAUGGGGGAACCCUUUUAUGCCAAGGGUAGGCCUAGCAUGAAAAUGCAAUCCUCCAGAGCAGGCACUAUACAAUACCUGAUGGAUCCAAUCAGCUCAUGGAGUGAAAAAUAAUUUUGAAAGAAUUUGGUCAAUUGGGGUGACGAGAGAUUUGUCAAAAUGAGGACAACGUCCGAAUAGAUUGAUCACCUUUGAUUUGCAAAACGCAUGGGUUUGACCUUGACGAACUCCUAUCGAAGAGAUUGGAAUUCGUUGAUAAAAUUUCUCAGUGAAUUACGGGUCAAAAACCCUAAUUGAUCAAGUGAUUGGAUGCAAUGGACGGUUUUCUUCAAAAUUGACUAGAUUUCCCAAUUUGGAAUUCGACAUUGAAAUCCUAAUUGGUCAAAUGAAAUUGACAAUUUAUUGAAAAUCGACCGGAUUACCCUAAAAGGGAAAUAGGUCAAAAAAUGGCUCGGUUGCCCUAAAAAUGGGUAAAUUGGCCAAAUGAAUGAAAUUGAAUUUGAUUUAUUCAAAAAUCCGAAUGACCCUAAAAAGGGUAAAAUGGUCAAAAGACCCUAAAAAGGGUAAUUUGGUCAAUUGAAUUGAUAAUUUAUUCAAAAAGCGACCGAAUGACCCUAAAAAGGGUAAAUUGGUCAAAAGACCCUAAAAGGGUAAAUUGGUCAAAUGAAUUGAAUGAAAUGAAUUUAUUCAAAAAUGAUUAGAUUGAACUAAAAUUGAAUGAAUUGGAAAAAAGUGGAUUGGAUAAGAUGGAUGAUUUGUUCAAAAAUCGAUUGAAUUAUUCGCCCACUGGGUGGUUUCAAGAAAUCAUUACAAUGCCUUGGUCUAUGAGCCUCUAAAAUCAAAAUUUGGCCUCUAUAUUUAUCGUCUCAACAAUGAGGAAUCAUUUUGUGAAUUUUCUUCGAAUUAAUGUCCUUUUACGCAAGGGAAUUUUACCAAUUUUGAGAAAAUGGCCAAAAAGUGAUUAUUAGAUGCUCAUAUUCCAAAAAUUGCUUCAUGAAAAUGAUCGGAUCUUUACCUUACCUUGUGCACUACCCCUUCGGAUGAUACGAGAAAGGUAAACGUGCAAGUCUCAUUUGGAUUAAGUAUCCGAGACACAAGGUGGCUUAUUUCUAGCACGGGAUCGCCUAAAUGGCAUUCCUUUUUCUAGGGUUUAUGCAUGAUGCCAGUUUAUUAAAGCGAUGUAAAUAUGUGACAAAUAUGGCCUAAAGGAUACAAAUAAUGCAUCGGGGGAAAAGGUCUAAACAUGAAAUGUAUUCACUGAAAAGUAAGUGCAAAGACUGAAAUUUAGACAUGUGAGCUAUCUAGUGGGUGAGUCACUAAAAGAGUGCCCAAGAGGCCUCUUAUUGCUAAGGCACAUGAAUGCAAUCCAAGAAAACAAAAGAAUGGUUAGUGCAGUUGAUAGUACACAUAACACAUUGGGAGCAUUUAAGAAGAAGAAAUACAAUAAAGCAAGUAAAAGGGGUGGAACCCCUUCCCUCGUGCCUAAUGUGCUUAAAAGGGUGAAGUUGACUCUAACCUAGGCAAACUAAUAUGGAUGCAUGAGGCUGGGGCUUACUAAUGCAACUAGACUCGAUAAGUCUCGGCUCCCAAGCCUUCAGACCUAAAGGCGAAGGGUCAUCACUCCCAGGGCCUUUGAUCGGUGGCUCGAGUGAUCCCUUAGGUAGCGCUAUGGGCGCAGAGCACACCAGCCGCCUACCCAAGGCAAUCGGUUCUAGUCCUACAAGGCGGUGUGGGAUGGCGCCCACGAAAAAUAAAAUAAAAUGGGAUAAAAGCAAGUAAACGUGCACGUAUGAAGUGUUCCCCUAUUUUGAGGGAAGGGGUUGAGAACCACGCAAGGCUCUAGAGGUGACACACCCCUCCCAAAUGCAAUGCAAGCGCGAGAUAAUCAAGUAAACAACAUCCAAUCAACCAAUCACACAUACGUGAGUGAGGGAAUAGUUACAUAUGCGCGCGAGGCAAAAGGCCCUAAAAUAGAAAAUGCAACCCUAAUAUCCAAAUGCAAUGCAUAAAAAGGGUAGAAAAAGGAAACGAAUGGCUAAGUCAAAUGCUUGGACCCACUUAGGAAGUCCCCAGUGGAGUCGCCAACUGUCGCGCCCCACUUUUUGAAAUGAAUGAUGUUUGGAUGUGUGUGUGAAGUGUGUGUGAACGUGUGCAAAAUGAAAAGUAAAAAGGCCAUGGGACUUUGGAAAGCGACGGUUUGGCCAAAUGAAAUUUAAAAAGGGUUUUUUAAAUAUGAAAACGGAGUCGCCACUUGGUAUAGAUUCGGGGUGUACCAAGUCACCCAAAAAGUGUUUUUUAAAAGACAAAGUAGCAAAACCCUUUUUAAAACGACUCCUAGUCCACGUAAGCCAAAGAAAAAGGUUCGGGGGUCACGUUUGACAAAGGGGAAGGCAAGGAUAGAAUCCAAGGCACCCCUUUGACCUAGCCAAGGCUAGUUGCGCGACUUAACCAAUUUUUCCUAAUUUUUCUACCCAAGGUAUGUAUCGCGUAUUGGGUAUGUCUAUAUGAAUGCAAAAACCUAGGCCUAGGGGAUUGGGGGAAAUUUCUCUUCAAAGGUGAGUGGUGUCAAUCACAUUAAUUGUGAAGCCCAAUAAUGACCCUUUUGGAGAGGUCACACCUAAACCUAAAUGACGUGAAAAAUGAGUGGAAUGCAUGCCAUGUGAAAGUGUGAGUUUGUGUGAAGUGAGAAAAAUGACAAAAGUAAUAAGAUAAGAGUGAAGGUGUGCAAAUGUAGAUGAAAGUACUCGUGUGCGAGUGAAGAUAAAAUGCUCGUGUGCAAGUGAAAAUAAAAGGGUUCGUGUGCAAGUGGAGACAAGAAAGUGUUCGUGUGCAAGUGAAGGUGAUAAAAAGGUGCAUGUGUGCAAAUGAGACAAAAGUGAAAGUGUAACGAUAGAGUGGAUUGAGAAUGCAUGAGCCUAGGGAAUUCAUGCAUAUUGGGUACGGGGAGACCUAAAUCGUGACUUGAUUUUCCCUUUGAUUAGAAGCCGAAACUAGCGUGCUAAGGCUAUCGAGUAGCCACACUCGCUCGUUUCCCUUAUCGGAAGGGGACACUCAAGCAAAAUGAACCCUAUAGCUAGUAUGGGAUGCAAAACCUAAAAUGAGGGGAAAGGGAGUCGAGGAGCAUGCCAAGUGAUAAAACUAAGAAAAAUGCAUGAUAUGUGGUGAACAAACAAAUGAUAUGCUAAUGAGGGGAAAACCCUAAGGGUCUAGCGUUGGACUAGCCCAUUCUAUGAAUUCCGACUAGCGUUGGACUAGCGGAAACGUACAUUCAUCCAUUCCAUUCAUUCAUGGCUAUGAAAGCAAGUAGACAUGCCAAAAUACUCGUAAACACAUAGCACAUAGCAUUUAGCAUGCUCGACUAGAUGCAAGAGCCUAAUAAAGCAAUUAAACAUGUAGCAACAAAAACAAGCAAGCAAGGGGAAGGGGAAGUGGACCAGAUGCUCUCCGAGCCCUAUCUAUUACAAGCCAAGAGGUGUACACAUACCCCAUAAAACUUAAAUAAAAGCAACCAAGGGGAAGGGGAAACGGACCAAAUGCUCUCCGAGCCCUAUCUAUUACAAGCCAAGAGGUGUACACAUACCCCAUAAAACUUAAAUAAAAGUAAAAGCAAGUAAAUGCAUGCAAGGAAGUAAGGAAAGCGGAGUAGGCAUGCAUAUUCACAUAACACGUAGGAGCACGUAAGGUCAAAUGAAGUGCAAAUAAAAGGGUAGAGUGUACCUUCCUUGAAAUUGGGCCCCAAUGAAGUGAACUUACUAAUUUACCCUCCAAAAUAAUAAAAAGGUCAAGGCACCAAUUUAUUUGGCAAAUAAUCACAAAGGAUAAAAAUAAGCAUGAAUUGAAUCAAUUGAAUCAUGUCAAAACCCACAUUUAAGAAGUCAAAAGAAGAAGGGACUUAAUUGCAAAAACGAACAAAGUUUUGGGGUCAAAAUUAAAGAAAAAUAAAGUUCAGGGACUUAAUUACAAUUAAUUUAAGGACCGAAUUGAAAGAAGUUGAGAAUGUCCAGGGCCACAAUACAUCUAAGGAGAAAUUCAGGGGCUGAUUUGCAAAUUUGCUUUCUGGUUUCUUAGUGGAUCAAGCCACUGGGCUAUUGCCUUUAUUUGUUUGGGCCAAAGUUUCCCAGCCCAAUGGAAAUUCAAAGCAAGAAGGGAAUGGACCAUUUUAUUUGUUCGUUUGGGCCAACCCUUCCUAGCCCAACCAAAAAACCCAAGCAAAAACAGAUGGGCUAGCUUAACUAUUUUGGCCCAAAAUUAGCCAACCACACAGAUGGGUCAUGACCCUAUGGCCCAAACCAAAAAAUUCAAAUAAACAAACUAAAACUCAUCAGCCAAAAACCCACCAAGCAAACCUUUAGCCCAAUAGGAUAACAAAUCCACUAAAACAAAUUAAGGUUUAAUUAUACCCGCAACCACAGAAAUAAUAAGUUUAGAAAUGCACCUAAAAUAUCAAGAGGAGAUGAGCAUCCAAUAGGGAUGUGAAUCGUUCAAUUACAAAUGUUUCUGGGCCGUAAUGCAAUUGGACAAAAGUUGGGGCUAAAAUAAAAAAAUUCAGAAAGUAUCAUGCAUCCUGCUCGAAGUUCUCUUGCAAUUUUUUCAUUUCUUUCUUCGGUAACUCACCCCAGGAACCACACGAAACAGAUGCGGAGCAAACAAAACUUUUUAACAAACUCAAACCCCCUUUGAUCAAUGCAACCCAGUCAUUCAUAUUAAGCCGUUGCAGAUUAAAAGAAUAUCAGUGGCCAUUUAGCCUUCCUUCGCAGAAUAAAAACAUCAAAGCAAAAACGCAAGUUAAUCAUCACUCAAGCAGAAUUUUAGCUGGGCAUUUCAUCAAACAUCUAAUGGCAUUAAGCAUAUCAUCGAUUCUUAGCUCAAUUGGGGUGAUAAUCAACCCCAAAAUUGUCAGCAACCCAAGGAAAUUUAGUCCGGACAGUAUACAAGCUCACGUGUUCAGAAGUUUAGGCAAAUUAACAGGGGAUUCGCACCAAAAUAACACCAUGGCAAACUCAUUUCAGAAGUUUGAGAGAAACUGAAAUUUGAAGAAAAUAACUUACAGGGCUAUAAAUUCUGAAGUCGAAUUGAAUCUGGGGGGUGGCGCUGACGGUAGACGGCUCUGUGGAGAUGGCAGUAGAAGCCCCUGCUGCUUUGAUGGCUACGGUGGCAGCAACGGCAGUGGGAGUUGAAAGGCGGCAGCAGAGGUGGAGAGUAGCAUACAACAACAACGACGAGUGCGGCCUGGAGGUGGCUUGGGCAAGCGGUUGGCUGCUUGUUGGUCGCGCUGGAGAAGAAAGGUGGCGCACGAGGUGGAGGUGCCGUGGCGGAGCUCGGAUUGCGGCGGACCUCCUGGUCUUUGUUUCCUCACUUUGCGUUUAGUUCCUUUGCCUCUGCCCGAAAUUCCUCCUCCAAAUUCCAGAUUUCGGCUGCCAGUUUCUUUUUUUUUUAGUUCCGUUUCUUGCUCUUCCUAAAUUCCUCUCAGCUAUCUUCUCCGUUUUCUGUUCCCUUUACUCU
rnacentral:lncRNA from 1 species